ensembl:snRNA U1 U1 spliceosomal RNA
UUUCUUACCUGGCAGGGGAGAUCCCGUGAUCAAGAAGGCGGUUCACCCAGGGCGAGGCUCAGCCAUUGCACCCCGGCUGUGCAGACCCCUGCAAAUUCCUCAAAUGUUAGAAUCUCGACUUCUUAAUUAUUAAUAGCGCGUUCGCACUCU